rnacentral:lncRNA from 1 species
AACUUAGCAGCAGAUCUGAUCGAACAAUUCACCCAGACUGACACUGCAGUGAUGACAGCAGAGCUCGCGCCUGUAGAGGUGGUCAGCACUGGGUGCCAAUGGGAGAACUUGUUUGAGGAAAAGAUGGAGCAAAAAGUUACUGUUCUUAAGAAGAGACAGAUGACCAUCGCUGAAUACAAGGUCUCGCCAGAAGAAGAGGUGGUCAGUAUGGCUGAGAAGAAAGAGGAAGAGCAUGGAGAGAAGACUGCAGCCAGCAACACCAAGACAGGGAUGCUGAAAUCAAUCAUGAAGCGGAAGGACGGGAGUAACCCAGGCGAGAAGAAGAAGAGCCUGCAGUUUGUUGGCAUUCUGAAUGGAGGGUAUGAAUCUACAUCCAGUGAAGAAGAGGAGGAGGAGGAGGAGGAGGAGGAGGAGGAGGAGGAGAAGAAGAAGAAGAAGAAGAUGGGAGUUCUUCUGGAGAAAGUGCAGAAGGCGAGUGCUUGGACAGCACAGAGGAGGAUGAGGCGGCUCUGGAGGACGAAACAUCAGAGGAGGAAAGAAACAUCAACCUGGACGAGAGUGACACUGAUGAAGAAACCCUGA